AUCGCUUCUCGGCCUUUUGGCUAAGAUCAAGUGUAGAAAUCUGAGUUCUGUAAAUGAAGUUUCCCAUUAUCUGUAUUACAUUUCAACCAAGUUGAAAUUAUUUUGUGUUCCCUGUUUUCAUCUUACUCAUA
ensembl:snRNA U2 U2 spliceosomal RNA